ACGGUGACAUCACGUUGAAACACUGGUCCUCGUACGAUCACCGAAGUUAAACAACGUCGAGCUUGGACAUUACCUAGAUGGGUGAUCGCUUGUGAAUACCAGAUGCUGUAA